rnacentral:rRNA from 1 species
ACGAGAAAGUGGAGCAAUCCAUGAGUACAGUGGCGUACGGGUGAGUAACACGUGGAUCAUCUACCUUUUAGUGAGGAAUAACCAUGGGAAACCGUGGCUAAUACCGCAUAAGCUCGAGAGAGGAAAGUCGUAAGACGCUGAAAGAGGAGUCCGCGGCCGAUUAGCUAGUUGGCAGGGUAAAAGCCUACCAAGGCGAAGAUCGGUAGCCGGCCUGAGAGGGCACACGGCCACACUGGCACUGAAACACGGGCCAGACUCCUACGGGAGGCAGCAGUGGGGAAUCUUGCACAAUGGGGGAAACCCUGAUGCAGCGACGCCGCGUGAGCGAUGAAGCCCUUCGGGGUGUAAAGCUCUUUCGGCAGGGAAGAUAGUGACGGUACCUGCAGAAGCAGCUGCGGCUAACUACGUGCCAGCAGCCGCGGUAAUACGUAGGCAGCGAGCGUUGUUCGGAGUUACUGGGCGUAAAGGGUGUGUAGGCGGUUGUUUAAGUUUGGUGUGAAAUCUCCCGGCUCAACUGGGAGGGUGCGCCGAAUACUGAAUGACUUCGAGUGCGGGAGAGGAAAGUGGAAUUCCUGGUGUAGCGGUGAAAUGCGUAGAUAUCAGGAGGAACACCGGUGGUGUAGACGGCUUUCUGGACCGUACUGACGCUGAGACACGAAGCGUGGGUAGCAACAGGAUUAAAUA